UAGGGAAUCUUCCGCAAUGGGCGAAAGCCUGACGGAGCAACGCCGCGUGAGUGAUGAAGGUCUUCGGAUCGUAAAACUCUGUUCUUAGGGAAGAACAAAUGUGUAAGUAACUAUGCACGUCUUGACGGUACCUAAUCAGAAAGCCACGGCUAACUACGUGCCAGCAGCCGCGGUAAUACGUAGGUGGCAAGCGUUAUCCGGAAUUAUUGGGCGUAAAGCGCGCGUAGGCGGUUUUUUAAGUCUGAUGUGAAAGCCCACGGCUCAACCGGGGAGGGUCAUUGGAAACUGGAAAACUUGAGUGCAGAAGAAGAAAGUGGAAUUCCAUGUGUAGCGGUGAAAUGCGCAGAGAUAUGGAGGAACACCAGUGGCGAAGGCGGCUUUCUGGUCUGUAACUGACGCUGAUGUGCGAAAGCGUGGGGAUCAAACAGG
rnacentral:rRNA from 1 species